rnacentral:rRNA from 1 species
GACGAACGCUGGCGGCGUGCUUAACACAUGCAAGUCGAACGGAAAGGCCCUGCUUUUGUGGGGUGCUCGAGUGGCGAACGGGUGAGUAACACGUGAGUAACCUGCCCUUGACUUUGGGAUAACUUCAGGAAACUGGGGCUAAUACCGGAUAGGAGCUCCUGCUGCAUGGUGGGGGUUGGAAAGUUUCGGCGGUUGGGGAUGGACGCGCGGCUUAUCAGCUUGUUGGUGGGGUAGUGGCUUACCAAGGCUUUGACGGGUAGCCGGCCUGAGAGGGUGACCGGCCACCUUGGGACUGAGAUACGGCCCAGACUCCUACGGGGGGCAGCAGUGGGGAAUAUUGCACAAUGGGCGGAAGCCUGAUGCAGCAACGCCGCGUGCGGGAUGACGGCCUUCGGGUUGUAAACCGCUUUCGCCUGUGACGAAGCGUGAGUGACGGUAAUGGGUAAAGAAGCACCGGCUAACUACGUG